rnacentral:rRNA from 1 species
ACGGGAGGCAGCAGUGGGGAAUAUUGCACAAUGGGCGAAAGCCUGAUGCAGCGACGCCGCGUGAGUGAUGAAGUAUUUCGGUAUGUAAAACUCUAUCAGCAGGGAAGAAAAAUGACGGUACCUGACUAAGAAGCACCGGCUAAAUACGUGCCAGCAGCCGCGGUAAUACGUAUGGUGCAAGCGUUAUCCGGAUUUACUGGGUGUAAAGGGAGCGCAGGCGGAAGGCUAAGUCUGAUGUGAAAGCCCACGGCUCAACCGUGGUACUGCAUUGGAAACUGGUCAUCUAGAGUGUCGGAGGGGUAAGCGGAAUUCCUAGUGUAGCGGUGAAAUGCGUAGAUAUUAGGAGGAACACCAGUGGCGAAGGCGGCUUACUGGACGAUGACUGACGCUGAGGCUCGAAAGCGUGGGGAGCAAACAGGAUUAGAUACCCUGGUA